CGCCUACCUCGGAGUAAGCGCUUGUGAUUGGCUUUCCCUUUGAAAUCCUUCCUAUAGUCUGUGUGCUAUAGUUGGCUCCUCUCCCUUCUGCCCCGCCUUGAGGUAUCACGAGGUCCGGCGUCGUCCGUUGGGCCGAUGAAGGCGAAGCAGGUCCCGCCCAUCCGCCCCGCUGGCUUCUCUGAUUGGCCCCUUCUCGCCGCGCUCCCCCACUAACAGACUCGGUAACGUCCUCGUGAUUCCUCGGUCGCGCGUUCUCUUUAACCGCCGCCAGCUGCGCCGUGACGUCACGCGCGCCGGCACCACUCCCCCGGCGCUGUUGUUUCCGUAACCGCCCAGUCGGCUCCGAGGCGCCCCCCCCCCGUGGGUGUGGCUUCUGCGAGGCGCCCGGUGCAGGGGGAAGAAGACUGGAUUUGGAGGCAAUUCAUCAAAAAGCUUUGGUGGCGCCUCCACGGGCGUGGUCGAGGCCGGGGCGGCCUCCAAGUGUUAUCAUGCUCAUUUUAUAGAUGAGGAAACUGAUGCACGGGGCGUUAGGUGUCUGAGGAGGGAGUUGAGCCCGGCCCCUGCGCAGCAGCCCCCUGUUACAGCCCCGCGUUUCUAUUCCAGCCUCACCUGUAACCUCACGCGCCCCCCUUUUUACUUUGUGAUAGCCUCUCCACAGAACUUUGUAAAAAGUUUAUUUAAAAACCAUUUUUUUUUAAGAUGGAGAAAGAGCAUUGAAUGUUGCUGGGCCCGACUGCCUCGCUUGAGAGAGGGGGAGGGGCUUAUCCCGCUGCCUGGAGGUGGGCGUUUCCCUUAGAGCUUCUCGAUGACGCCUCCCACUGCGCGCAGGAAAAGUCCCUACUGCGCGCAGGAAAAGUCCCUACUGCGCGCAGGAAAAGUCCCUACUGCGCGCAGGAAAAGUCCCUACUGCGCGCAGGAAAAGUCCCUACUGCGCGCAGGAAAAGUCCCUACUGUGCUCAGGACCUCCCGGACGGAGGACGCUAAGUAAGCCUUAGUCUGUUUGUCUUUCGGGGCUGGGGAAGAGGUUGAUGACUCCCAGAAUGGGGGGAGACAGAAGCUGCAUUUGGACCCUGGCUCUGCUCCCAGCUGCGUGACGUCGGACAGCUUUUGCAGUCCUCCCCAAACGGAAUAUCAGACCUUGGAAUUAGGUGAAAGAACCCUCCUGGGCACUAUCUUCUUCCAAAAUGUUCCUGGAGCUCGGUGUGCGAGGAUGCUACCUCAGGCCCGAUUCUUAUUGGAAGAGAGCUUUUUUAGCAUCUGGUGGGAAGUUGGUCCUGAACUCUUGGGAGACAGAUGGGCUGCAAGGAAAGCAGAUGCCCUGCAGUUGUGCGUGGGAGUGAACCGCUGUGCCUUCCUGACUGGAGUUCUUCAGAGAUCUAGAACCGAGAUUACAGGUUCCCAGCCCCAGAGAUGGCCCUCUGGGCAAAUUGCUAAGACUAUAAUAAAACUCCUUUUUUAGUCA